UAUUUUUGAAAAAUAUACCCGAGCUGACGCGCGGGUCAAAAUCUAAGUAUACUAUUAUUUAUGCAUCUCCUUCCUCAAUCUAACCGAGCCGCAUCCCUUGUUGCGAGAGAAAUCUAAGUUUCUAAACUUUCAUACUUCCUUCAUCAUCUCUCUUUCUAUGUCGUUCAUCUUCUCCCCUUCCCUUCAUGUGCUGGCGCUUUCGUUGGAGGGAGUGAGACGCAACCACCAUCGUUUGAGGAAGCGAUGCCCGAGCCGAGGAUCGAUCAUUGGAUUCGUGAGAAGCCAUACCAUUGGAAGCCAUCGUUGUUGCUCCUCUCCGAGUUAUGUAAUGGAUCCG
rnacentral:lncRNA from 1 species